CACUGACAAUGAUGAUUUGUUUAAAACAAUGGGAAUCUCUCUGAAAAAGAGUGAAAGAAAACUGUUUCCUGAUGCAGUG